AUGGGGUCUACAUCUCAAUAAAUAUCAUAAUUUUGUGUAAGCAUUUUGCAGAUUAUUCUGCAAAUCAUAAUGAAUAUAACCAAUUUAUGGAAAUUCUGAAUGAAAAAAAGAAAGAAAGAAAAGAAAUGAUGAUGGAUGGAAAGAGAGUCUUUGUUGUUGUUGUUGUUAAUAUAAGCACCAACUCUCUUUUACAUUGAAAGCCUCUCCUUCAAAAAAGCCUAAAACUCAGAGCCAUACACUUUCUUUCUUUCCUUCACACACAAAAGCCAGAGCUUGCCUGUGUAUAUAUAGUUGUGAACCCUGUUGAAGAAUUGAGAAGAAGGUGUGAAAGAGGUGAAGUUUUGGUGAUCAAUUCAACUGCAACUGGAGGAGGCAUCCAAAGGGAUCGCAUUGAUCCCAAAUCUUGAUCUAUUUUUCCAUUUUUACAAUAUUUGAGAUCAUGCUAUCCCUUUGGAUUCAUCCUCUGGUGGCUUCUACUAUGAUCGUUCUGGUGGACAAACUCUGACUCCAUUUACUUCAAAGCAUUUCCCAUGGCAAAACUGCAUUAUGGAGAUGAAAGAGAGUGGCAUAAUUCAUAGUCCAAUAUAUACCCUUAAUUUUUGCAAAAAUAGGCUUUAUCUUGAUGACUGCAAUAUUCAUGCUUUGCUGAUGACUGAUGAACAUGGUUGAAUUAGUAUCUCAAAUCUGAAAUCUCCACACAGAUCCAAUUCUUCAGUCAAGAGGGACUGGAUGCUACUAUAGUAAUAUGAUUGUUAUUCUGGAACCAAGUGCCUUUCAUCCUAUGGCUGCUGUAUAAUAUAAUUUAGCAGUGUGCUUUUUCAUGAAUGUCAAAAAACUGUCAGUGAUCAGUGUAUGUACAGUACUCACCUCACCUAUAAACUUUUUGAUUCACAUAAACUUUUUCUUUCAUUUCAUUUAUGUUUACUCUUUUUUCUUUUCUUGUUAUAUCAUUUAUCAUUUGUUUCAGUUCAUUCUCCUAUAUUUUCUAUUUCUCUUUGGAUCUGUGAGUGUAUUUGGGUGUAAAUAGAAUUUUGUUAUUCAAAACUUUAGAGUCCUCCAGUGAUGGCCACUCAAUAUAGUACAGAAUUGCUUCAACAUGCAAGUUAAAUGCCUACUUGAAGUAGGUGAAAUACUUACAUGAAGACUCUCUUUUGCAGCUGUUGCAUUAAGAUUUUCAAAUUAUAAUCUGUUCAGUGUUUCUAUUAUGUGCUUUCAAGAAGUUUGGUAUAUUUGACAAAAAAAAUUAAAGAAGUUUGGUAUAGAUUGAAGGAAACACUAAUAUGCAAUUUUAUGUGGAUAAUUAAGAAUUUUUUUCAUCCUCAGUAUGUAAGCUAAUUUCCUAAUUUUAAUCAAGUAACUUAAAUUUUUAUGGGAUCUAGAAAUGGAAAUGAUCUAUGGAUAUACGAUUUCGGUCGAUCAGUUUCCAACACACAGAUUUGUGCUAGUUUUUAACCGUCACUAAUGUUUGUAGAAAAUAAUUAAUGUUUGUAAGGAAUAAAACCGCCAGUAAAAUGUACGGCUAUUGAAUGUCACAUAAAAAUAAUAUGUAUGUAUAUCAUUACUGGUUUAGAAAUUAAAGGAAGGAAAGAAAGUAACCUCACCCAAAAGCUAUACAAAUCCGCAUAUUCUUGUUCUUUACAAGUUGAAGAUGGAUGUCACUGUUGCAAAAAUAAAGAAUCAUAAUUAGGUAAAAUGUACAGUGGAAGCAAGCUAGCUAGUAAUUUAUCAGUACUAUGAAUAAAACAGUACUGAGUACAUGCAUUUUUAACUUGGCCAAAAAUCACUUCUACCUCAUUUGGAAAGUUUUUUUUUUUAAUUUUGAUCAUGACAUGUAUUCAACAAAAUUAAUUUCACCUUUUGAUAAAGCAUUUUUCCCCCACCCAUUGAACACUCAUAGUUUUCUGACCACACUUGAGUUGUCAUGUACAUGAUCUUCUGAACCAAACAGUUCUGCAUUGCUAUAAGAGUGCUGGAAUUGACUCCAUCUUUACUUCGUUACACAGUCACAACAUUUUUAUGACGGAUUAUCUCAUUUCCUAUUUUACGAGUGAAAUUUUAACAGUCACUUAAAAAUUCUGGAUGCGUUGGUUACAAACUAAUUACAAAAAUACUUUAAACUUGACACGGUAAAAUUUCAUUGGUUAGACAUAAAAAUGGGACAGAAAAUUAAGACAGAAGAUCUUAACUAAUACACUUGUAAAUUGUAGUUACUGUUGGGGGACAUGCCUUGUGUUUUGCAAUUACUAUUGUAGUUGUAUUGAUAGAAAUUGCAUGAAAAUGUAACUGAAAUCACAAUUAAAUGGGAGUCCUAAACCACAACAGUGUAGCUUCAAUUGAAGUAUAGCUAGCAUGUGGCCUGGCAAUUUAAAACCAUUGAGUUUAGAGUCAAUUGUACUCCAAAACACACGUGCCUCUUUUGGACCUGAAUUAGAAUCCAAGGCAGUGAAAGGUGUUCUCUUUAUUUAGGAAGUUCUUUACAUCACUUUUGAGCGUCACACAGGGUGUUCUAUAGGUAAUGGAAUCAUACAUAUAAAAGAAAAACAUGAUACUAGAAAACUCUCAUUAUGUGCAAGGUUUAGAGAUCAGUCGGAUCCAUUUUGUGGAUUUAGUACUUUAGAGUUUAGGUUACAUUAUCUUUCAUUACAAGUGACUGACUCCACGUUUUGAACCUGUGAUUAUAUAUAUUACUGCAAAGACUUACGAUAAUAAUUUUACUGUUGCGCCGAGACUCACUUCUUGUAACGAAAUCAACGCAUGUGCAAAUUGAAGACUUUCAAAAUUGAAGUUUUCUAACAUUGCUUAUCUUUAAUUGAAAUAAAACGCGCGGUCUUUAAUUUUUUCUGUUUUACGUCCUUAUUCUUAGCACAUGAUUCCCAACGUUCUAAUUAAGGUUAAGCCCAUACCAAACUUUUCUUCA